UUAACGACCCUUUCCUGUCAAACCAAGUUCUUCAUCUUCUAUCUCUUCGCACGGCCAAACCCUAAAUUUCAAAUUGCUUUUUUCUAACAUACGGGCAACAAAGAUUAAAGUUAAUCGAAUGGUGGUUCCUCUUGUUUCUGUCUCCGACUCCCAUCUAUUGCACAAUUUGGUCAAUCUAUCAUACGCUCUAAUGAAGAUUGAAAGGCAAACAAAGGGUGGAUCCUCUCGUUUAAAUUGAAGGGUAGUUUCCUCCCUCUUCAAUUAAAGUGGCUUUGUUGCUCUUUUAUUACAAUGGCUGCUCGUCUAUUAUUCCCCAAAUUUUCAAGAAACUUGGCACUCCAAAUGGAACAAUUGAUCCAGCUUCUUGAAAUUUCCCAAAUUAAAGUUCAAUUUUUUCCAGGCUUCCAACUUACGGUGGUUUAGGUAUAAUCUUUUGUGCGAGAAGUUUCGGUCACAUCAUUCACCGGAUCUCUAGUUCAUUCUGCUUCUGUAUUAAUUUGUUGAACAAGAGGAAGUGUAAUAUUUGGAGGGGGGAGUCAAAUGAAUGAUAAGGAAAUUAAAUUGUGCUCUUUCUAUAAGUUAUGACAGGGACAAUUUCUACUUUCUCUAUUGUUGGAUCAAUUGAAAAUAAGGCUUGUAUUCUGUACUCAAAUGAAACUGAGGACUAGCUCCAAUAACAAAGCAUUUUUAAUUUUUAUAUUUUUUCUUAUAAUUCCAAGUUGAAAAAAAAUAUUCUAUUUUUUUAGAAUUCUAAAUGGAAAAAAUAUUCCAUGUCAUAUUAUUUAUGUAAAAGAAAAUAACUAGACCAAGUGUAUAUGGAAAUACAACAAAUUUUUAGCUUUAUAUUCUAUAUAUUUUUUUGUAAUGGAAUUUUUUAAUAUAAAUAAUAAAGUUGAAUUUGAUCAUUAAAUUGUAAGUCAUAAUCUAAACAAAUAAUUUCUGGUUUUAAAAAAUUAAAGGCAUUAAAAAAUGUAGUAUUAAAAGUAGGCAACACUUUAAAAGUAUGGCCUAAAAAAAACCGUGGACUAAAACUGGGGAAGAAAAUAAUCUAAUAAAUAGGCUGCGGUUUAAAGGUGUAGCUUAAUCAAACCGCGGUCUAAAGCUAUCUCAAGAACCGCAGCAUAUUCACACACUAUAGGCGACGCUUUUUGGUAUUUGUGGGCGAAAGUGCA